rnacentral:rRNA from 1 species
UACGUAGGGUGCAAGCGUUAAUCGGAAUUACUGGGCGUAAAGCGUGCGCAGGCGGUUUUGUAAGUCUGUCGUGAAAUCCCCGGGCUCAACCUGGGAAUUGCGAUGGAGACUGCAAGGCUAGAAUCUGGCAGAGGGGGGUAGAAUUCCACGUGUAGCAGUGAAAUGCGUAGAGAUGUGGAGGAACACCGAUGGCGAAGGCAGCCCCC